rnacentral:rRNA from 1 species
UACGUAGGGGGCAAGCGUUGUCCGGAUUUAUUGGGCGUAAAGAGCGUGUAGGCGGCCUGAAAGGUCAGCUGUGAAAACUCGAGGCUCAACCUCGAGACGUCGGUUGAAACCGCAUGGCUAGAGUCCGGAAGAGGAGAGUGGAAUUCCCGGUGUAGCGGUGAAAUGCGCAGAUAUCGGGAAGAACACCCGUGGCGAAGGCGGCUCUCUGGGACGGUACUGACGCUGAGACGCGAAAGCGUGGGGAGCGAACAGG